rnacentral:rRNA from 1 species
AUUAGUGGCGAACGGGUGAGUAACACGUGGGCAACCUGCCCCAGACACCGGGAUAACCUCUCGAAAGAGUGGCUAAUACCGGAUAUGACCACUUCGGGCAUCCGACGGUGGUGGAAAGGAUUCUGGUCUGGGAUGGGCCCGCGGCCUAUCAGCUAGUUGGUGGGGUAAUGGCCUACCAAGGCGACGACGGGUAGCCGGCCUGAGAGGGCGACCGGCCACACUGGGACUGAGACACGGCCCAGACUCCUACGGGAGGCAGCAGUGGGGAAUAUUGCGCAAUGGGCGAAAGCCUGACGCAGCGACGCCGCGUGAGGGACGAAGGUCUUCGGAUUGUAAACCUCUUUCAGCAGGGACGAAGCGAAAGUGACUGUACCUGCAGAAGAAGCACCGGCUAACUACGUG